AGAGUUUGAUUAUGGCUCAGGACGAACGCUGGCGGCGCGCUUAACACAUGCAAGUCGAGCGAGAACCAGGGCUUCGGCCCUGGGGAAAGCGGCGAACGGGUGAGUAACACGUGAGUAAUCCACCCCCGGUACCGGGAUAGCCCAGGGAAACUUGGAUUAAUACCGGAUGGCCCAUUCACCUCUCGAGGUGACUGGAAAAGGUAGCUUCGGCCUCCGACCGGGGACGAGCUCGCGGCGGAUUAGCUUGUUGGCGGGGUAACGGCCCACCAAGGCGACGAUCCGUAGCUGGUCUGAGAGGACGAUCAGCCACACUGGGACUGAGACACGGCCCAGACUCCUACGGGAGGCAGCAGUGGGGAAUCUUGCGCAAUGGGCGAAAGCCUGACGCAGCGACGCCGCGUGCGGGAAGAAGGCCUUCGGGUUGUAAACCGCUUUCAGGAGGGACGAAGCCACUCAGGUUAAUAGCCGAGAGGGUGACGGUACCUCCAGAAGAAGCCCCGGCUAACUACGUGCCAGCAGCCGCGGUAAUACGUAGGGGGCAAGCGUUGUCCGGAUUUAUUGGGCGUAAAGAGCGUGUAGGCGGCCAAACAGGUCGGUUGUGAAAACUGGAGGCUUAACCUCCAGACGUCGACCGAAACCGUAUGGCUAGAGUCCGGAAGAGGAGAGCGGAAUUCCUGGUGUAGCGGUGAAAUGCGCAGAUAUCAGGAAGAACACCCGUGGCGAAGGCGGCUCUCUGGGACGGUACUGACGCUGAGACGCGAAAGCGUGGGGAGCGAACAGGAUUAGAUACCCUGGUAGUCCACGCCGUAAACGAUGGGUGCUAGGUGUGGGGGGGGGUGUCGACUCCCUCCGUGCCGCAGCUAACGCAUUAAGCACCCCGCCUGGGGAGUACGCCGCAAGGCUAAACUCAAUGAAUGACGGGG
rnacentral:rRNA from 1 species